rnacentral:misc_RNA from 1 species
ACUUCGUUGAAUAAUUAUGAUUAGGUAGAUGAGUGAAUUAUGAACUUGUGUAUGCUUGUCUGUCCCUCUGUGUGAGUUAGAUGAAAUGUCUGGCGUUGGUGGGAAAGGUGGACAUGGUAGUCUACCUUCUAACUCCAGUCAAACCAACAGAGUUCCUCCAAUACCCUGUCCAGUGAGCAACGCAAUGAACACAAGUACCGGUGGUAUCGCCGGGCUCGCCACCUCCCCUAACUCCGGCAGUGAUCUCGCCAGCUUGUUUGAGUGCCCGGUCUGCUUCGACUACGUUCUACCGCCGAUCCUACAAUGUCAGGCGGGUCAUCUCGUGUGUUCAAACUGCCGACCUAAGUUGACCUGCUGCCCAACAUGUCGGGGUCAACUGGGAGCAAAUAUACGCAAUUUGGCGAUGGAAAAGGUUGCUUCAACUGUCUUAUUCCCGUGUAAAUAUUCUAGUGGUGGCUGUGUUAUAACUCUUCUUCACACGGAAAAGAUUGAGCACGAGGAAACCUGUGAGUUCCGCCCCUACUCCUGUCCCUGCCCUGGAGCUAGUUGUAAAUGGCAGGGAAGCUUAGAACAAGUUAUGUCACAUCUCAUGCAGGUGCACAAGUCAAUUACAACGUUACAAGGAGAAGAUAUAGUGUUCUUAGCUACAGAUAUUAAUCUACCAGGUGCUGUUGAUUGGGUGAUGAUGCAAUCUUGUUUUGGUCAUCACUUCAUGCUGGUUCUAGAGAAACAGGAGAAGUUUGAUGGGCAUCAACAAUUUUUUGCCAUCGUACAGCUUAUAGGAACUAGGAAACAGGCGGAAAAUUUUGCGUACAGGUUGGAGUUGAACGGGCAUCGGCGCCGAUUAACCUGGGAAGCCACGCCGCGGUCUAUUCACGAAGGUGUUUCCUCCGCCAUCUUGAAUUCUGAUUGCCUCGUGUUCGAUACAAGUAUAGCUCAGCUGUUUGCUGAUAAUGGAAACCUAGGGAUAAAUGUAACAAUCUCAAUGUGCUGAAUGCUUUAUCUAAUCUCUAGACAGGGGAGGAGGUUAUAGUAUAGCUUAAUUAAAAGUAUUUGAUGUGCUUAUUUUAUGGGACGGAUUAGACAACUUUGCUAUUUAAAAGCUAUGUAAUGCCAUUAAAUAAAAUAAUUUCCAGGCCAUUUAAAUUCCAAAUUAUUUAUUAUUAUGCCUAACAAACAGAAUUAUAUAGCAAAAAAAAUGGUCUAGCUUGACCAUGAGUAGCACAUCAAAUAUUUGACGACGACCUCUUCCUCUAAAGUCAUGAAAGUACACAAUUAUCAUCUCCACUCACUCCAUACACGGAAGUUAUCGGGAUUAUACUUGAUCCACUCUUUUUCUUAAUCUCGAGAUUAAAUAAUGCUUGUUCUCCUCUUUUUAUUGAUCUCCAGAUUAAUUAACCGAUCGGAAUUAAGGAUAUUCCAUUCUAAAGUUUUCAGCUCUGACUUGAGAACUUCAGUGUUGGAUACCCAUAAUACUUACAUAUCCACAGUGGGGCACUUCUGAAUUUUACAAAGAAUCUGUUUAAUCUCUUGAUUUUUUAUAUCCGCAAUUUCUCUGUUCUCUCAUUGGUGGAGAGCAAAAUUCCUUGGCUGUUUGUUUUCCAAAGCCAACACUCUUUACGGGAUAAAAUUAAUCUUUAGAUAAGCAAAAGAUCGAGAUCAAGCAUUGAUCUCGAUAUCCACAAUACAAGAGUUGCUACAAUUUCAAAUUAUUUAAUUCUUGAAGACAUUUAAGUGAAUAGAAGAACAAAAACUACAUUAAUUUCACACUUAAUGGUUCUCACAUGUAGCAUGUACCAAAUCCUACACUACACAGUAUGUUCGUAAAUAUGUAUUUGAGAAUUGGAGAAAAGUAUUUUACUGUUAUUUAUCCAUAUAGCUGUUAGUUACAUUCUACCCCCAUACCCCCUUCAUAAAUCCCCUAGCCCUUUCUCCAAACCGUUUCCCCGUUGAAGAAAAUCCUGAAAAAUAUUUAACCUCUGUAUUUUUCCCCUUGAGCAUACCGUCUCCUUUUUCUUAAAGGGACUGUAAGCGUGAUUUCAAUUCCUUUAAUACAAUAUUCUAUUUUCUCUCUCCUUCUGACUAACCCUCUUCCUCCCAACUUUCUUCUGUUUAAUUACAUCUAAAAAAAUAUAUGAACAAAUUUUUUAAAUAAUUAUCAAAAUGAAAUGAAACAAUCAGUUUCAUAAUGUAUUAUUGUGUUAAUAUUGCUGCUGUGUACACUUACAUUGUACUGUACAGUUUUCGUAAUUCGGGGAUGGUACAUGAUUCGAGAUCAGCUCUAAAAUUUUGUUAACAUAAUCGGAGAUUUAUUUACACGAAUGACGACUAAAUUGUACAUAGUUUAUAGUCGAAAUUAAAUGUCGUCAUGUUAAAUAAAGUCGAACGCUAUUCAAGACAAUUUCAAAAACUUAAAAAGUUAUCACGUUUUGAUCGUCUGUUCAGAAGUUGUUAUUUGUAUCAUCACCUGGACAAAUUCUUUUUGAAUGACACAAUUUGUUCACCUCCUCACUACGUUAUCAAUACAAUAGUUGGGCAGAUUUUGCUUGAAGAAAAAAUUAGUUUUGAAGAAUUUUAAUGAAUAAAAUAUGAGUGAUAAAUUUAUUAUAAAUACACAUGUUGUAUGUAUUGUAUAACGUAUAUUAUUGAUCCAAAUAAAUCGUUUUACUAAACUAAA